rnacentral:rRNA from 1 species
UACGGGGGGAGCAAGCGUUGUUCGGAUUUACUGGGCGUAAAGAGCGCGCAGGCGGUCGAUCAAGUCGAGUGUGAAAGCCCCCGGCUCAACUGGGGAGGGUCAUCGAUACUGAUCGACUCGAAGGCAGGAGAGGGUAGUGGAAUUCCCGGUGUAGUGGUGAAAUGCGUAGAUAUCGGGAGGAACACCAGUGGCGAAGGCGACUACCUGGCCUGUUCUUGACGCUGAGGCGCGAAAGCUAGGGGAGCAAACGGGG